rnacentral:lncRNA from 1 species
CGAUGCUUGAAAGCACUCACCCUUCGAUCGUACUAUUCCCUUUCUGGAUCCAAACUGCGGAAAGACGAAUCGAGAAGAAGAAGAAGUAGAGAAUAAAAUCAAACAAUCACAAAGACAACAAUUUUACGUGGUUCACCCCAAUACGGGUUACGUCCACGGAGGCCACACGCACAGAUUCAAUAUAUUUAGCAAGGGUUACAAUGAUCUCUCUUCCUGUUGGAGAUUGCACACCUAGGGCUUACAAGAGAGAUAGGACUCCAAAAGAAACUCACUACGGCCGCUCUCAUCUCACCUAGGGUUCACCAAAAAACCCUAUUUAUAGGUUUUCAACACAUAAGGAAACUUCCCUACGAAAACCCUAAGUCAAAAAACCCAUCUUGCCAUCGUUUCAAUCAAUCCCGUGAUCAGGAGUCGACUCUUCACUUUCAGGGGUCGACUCCUGAUAAGUUCGAGUCGACUCGGACAUCCUCGGGUCGACUCCAAGUAUCAGCACCGAAACUGGCACGCUCUGUCUUCCUGAGCUGGAGUCGACUCCUGCAGAGCUGGAGUCGACUCCUGCAGGACUGGAGUCGACUCCUGCAGGCAACCCAAAAAA